CAUGGAUCUCUCUUCUUAUCUCUCCCUCACUCGAGAAGGAAAAUAUUGCUAAAGAAUUUGUUAGUUUCAAGUAAUUUCCUUUUAUUUUCCUGAUAUCUUCUCGGAUAUUUCCUUAAAUUCAUAUAUAGAUUUGCCUCCCUUUAAAUAUCCAGUAAGUUGUAUUAUAUACAGAUCCAAACCAUUUUAUUUAUUUAUUUAUCUUUGAUCAUAAAAAUUUGGUUGCAGGGUUUGCCUUUUUGUUCUUUAGUUGCUUUCUAACUCCAUCUAUGCAUGUAAUAUAUGUACUACAAGUAUGGAGGUACUCUAAAAUGCACUUGUGAUGCAAGUUUGUUUGUCUUUGUCCAUGGAUCUUGGUUUGUAGUGGGCCUAACUAAAGUCUUUUACUCUUUUUCCCUACUAGAUCAACUUUGUGCUUCCCUGCUUGGAUCUAAUCUGUUCAGGAUAUAUAUAUAUAUCUUCUCGGAUAUUUCCUUAAAUUCAUAUAUAGUUUUGCCUCCCUUUAAAUACCCACUAAAUUGUAUUAUAUAUAGAUCCAAACCAUUUUAUUUAUUUAUUUAUCUUUGAUCAUAAAAAUUUGGUUCCAGGGUUUGCCUUUUUGUUCUUUAGUUGUGUUCUAACUCCAUCUAUGCAUGGAGGUACUCUAAAAUGCACUUGUGAUGCAAGUUUGUUUGUCUUUGUCCAUGGAUCUUGGUUUGUAGGGGGCCUAACUAAAGUCUUUUACUCUUUUUCCCUACUUGAUCAACUUUGUGAUUCCCUGCUUAUAUAUAUAUAUAUUUGCAAGGUUUUGUAUAGCUUUAAGCUCAGAUCCGCCUGUACAUGCUCCUCUCCCACCCACACGAUAUACUAAUGGCUUCAUUAUCAAGGUAAUGAGCUGACAAAAGAGAUAAGGAAUUAGCAGCAUCUUUCCUUUUCUUUCUUUCUUGUGUGAUAGUGGGGAGCAUUUUCUUCACAGCAGUCUAAAGAAAGCUGUGGUUAUCAAUUUGAAUGAAAAUGCUGCUCUGCAAGUUGGUCAAAGGCAAAUCUAGCUCAAUUCCACUGCCAACAACUCAGGCCUCAAUGAUGCCAUUUCCUGAAAUACAGUACCCUCAGCCCGCUUCACCUGUAAAACUAUUGGGUCAUGCUGGAUGGUUGCUGCUACUGAGACAACAAGUGUAUAGCAAGGUUUUUUUGCAGUCAGAUGUUUUUUUUGAACAGUAAGCUGCAGUUUGAGAUGCUGUUGGUUGCUUGGUUUGCUGUGUGAUGGUUUGGCUGAUGUAGUUUGUUACUUUGCUGGUUGUAAUCUGUAUAGUUGUAGUAGUGUUCAAGAAGCUUGUUGUUUUCCUGGAAUUUUUGGCUAAAUAGCUAGAGUGCAUUGUAUUCAUUAACUUUUUUAAAUGAAAGAGUUACUCAUUAAUAAA